rnacentral:rRNA from 1 species
UACGUAGGGGGCGAGCGUUGUCCGGAUUUACUGGGCGUAAAGCGCGUGUCGGCGGUCCCUUAAGUCCGGGGUGAAAGGCGGAGGCUCAACCUCCGAGCUGCGCCGGAAACUGGGGGUCUUGAAUGUCGGAGAGGGGCGUGGAAUUCCUGGUGUAGCGGUGAAAUGCGUAGAGAUCAGGAGGAACACCGGUGGCGAAGGCGGCGCCCUGGCCGAACAUUGACGCUGAGACGCGAAAGCGCGGGGAGCGAACGGG